AUGUCACAUUUCUGGUGGGGUGACGAGGACAAUCCGAGGAGGAUGCAUUGGAUGGGUUGGUGGAAGAUGUGUGUGCCAAAAGAUCAAGGAGAUAUGGGCUUUCGAGACUUACACUGUUUCAACCUGGCUUUGUUGGCUAAACAAGCAUGGCAUCUUCUUGGAAAUCCUAACUCUUUAUGUGCCGCUAUCUUGAGAGCUAAGUACUUCCCUGAUGGUGACCUGAUGAAUGCAAGUUUAAAAAAAGGAUCCACCUUUACAUAGCAAUGCAUUAUGGUGGGAGUCACAUCACUAAAAAAUGGCUAUAUUUGGCGAGUUGAAAAUGGACAAAAUAUCGACAUUUGGAAAGAUGCAUGGAUUCCGAAUUAUGCAAAUAGGAAAAUCAUUACUCCUACUCAUGUCAAAAGUUUCUAA
rnacentral:rRNA from 1 species